UACGAAGGGGGCUAGCGUUGUUCGGAAUCACUGGGCGUAAAGGGCGCGUAGGCGGCCGAUCAAGUCGGGGGUGAAAGCCUGUGGCUCAACCACAGAAUUGCCUUCGAUACUGUUUGGCUUGAGACCGGAAGAGGUAAGUGGAACUGCGAGUGUAGAGGUGAAAUUCGUAGAUAUUCGCAAGAACGCCAGUGGCGAAGGCGGCUUACUGGUCCGGUUCUGACGCUGAGGCGCGAAAGCGUGGGGAGCAAACAGG
rnacentral:rRNA from 1 species